GGGUCAGUAGGUUGGUCGUGCCACCGGUACGUACUGGUCUCACUGAUUCCUCCUUCCUGAAGAACCGUAAUGCCAUUAAUUUGGUGUUGCGGGGGAACAGGACUGUUACUUUGAAAAAAUUAGAGUGUUUAAAGCAAGCUAACGCUUGAAUACAUUAGCAUGGAAUAAUGAAAUAGGACGAUCGAUCCUAUUUUGUUGGUUUCUAGGAUUGACGUA
rnacentral:rRNA from 1 species